rnacentral:rRNA from 1 species
UACGUAGGGGGCAAGCGUUGUCCGGAAUCAUUGGGCGUAAAGAGCGUGUAGGCGGCCAGAAAAGUCCGCUGUGAAAACUCGAGGCUCAACUUCGAGCUGUCGGUGGAAACUUUCUGGCUAGAGUCCGGAAGAGGAGAAUGGAAUUCCUGGUGUAGCGGUGAAAUGCGCAGAUAUCGGGAAGAACACCCGUGGCGAAGGCGGUUCUCUGGGACGGUACUGACGCUGAGACGCGAAAGCGUGGGGAGCGAACAGG